GGAAACAAAAUUGUGAAUAAAUUGGAGACGAAAUUGCUAAUAAUCUUAUCACCUCUAACAAAACAAUGGCAAUUUUGGUGAAUUUUCUAGUUGUAUUUUAAAAUAUAUUUGUAUGU